rnacentral:siRNA from 1 species
CACUACUAUGUUGCCACUUCAA